ACAUGCUUACAACAUAGUGUUAAUGCACCAAAUCCCAUUAGAACUCCACAGUUAAGCGCGCUCAGGUUAGAGUAUUAUUGGGAUGGGUGAUUGCCUGAGAAGUCCUAGUAUUUUACAUGCC
rnacentral:rRNA from 1 species